AGUUAAUUUACUUUAAAAGUACUUAUAUCUUGAAAAUAUAAAAAAGAAUAAUUUAUUUCUGUUAACUU
rnacentral:tRNA from 1 species